rnacentral:rRNA from 1 species
CAAACAGGAUUAGAUACCCUGGUAGUCCACGCCGUAAACGAUGUCGACUUGGAGGUUGUGCCCUUGAGGCGUGGCUUCCGGAGCUAACGCGUUAAGUCGACCGCCUGGGGAGUACGGCCGCAAGGUUAAAACUCAAAUGAAUUGACGGGGGCCCGCACAAGCGGUGGAGCAUGUGGUUUAAUUCGAUGCAACGCGAAGAACCUUACCUGGUCUUGACAUCCACGGAAGUUUUCAGAGAUGAGAAUGUGCCUUCGGGAACCGUGAGACAGGUGCUGCAUGGCUGUCGUCAGCUCGUGUUGUGAAAUGUUGGGUUAAGUCCCGCAACGAGCGCAACCCUUAUCCUUUGUUGCCAGCGGUCCGGCCGGGAACUCAAAGGAGACUGCCAGUGAUAAACUGGAGGAAGGUGGGGAUGACGUCAAGUCAUCAUGGCCCUUACGACCAGGGCUACACACGUGCUACAAUGGCGCAUACAAAGAGAAGCGACCUCGCGAGAGCAAGCGGACCUCAUAAAGUGCGUCGUAGUCCGGAUUGGAGUCUGCAACUCGACUCCAUGAAGUCGGAAUCGCUAGUAAUCGUGGAUCAGAAUGCCACGGUGAAUACGUUCCCGGGCCUUGUACACACCGCCCGUCACACCAUGGGAGUGGGUUGCAAAAGAAGUAGGUAGCUUAACCUUCGGGAGGGCGCUUACCACUUUGUGAUUCAUGA